AGGCAGCAGUUGGGAAUCUUCCGCAAUGGACGAAAGUCUGACGGAGCAACGCCGCGUGAGCGAAGAAGGCCUUCGGGUCGUAAAGCUCUGUUGUUAGGGAAGAACAAGUAACGCAGUAACUGGCGUUACCUUGACGGUACCUAACGAGAAAGCCACGGCUAACUACGUGCCAGCAGCCGCGGUAAUACGUAGGUGGCAAGCGUUGUCCGGAAUUAUUGGGCGUAAAGCGCGCGCAGGCGGUUCCUUAAGUCUGAUGUGAAAGCCCACGGCUCAACCGUGGAGGGUCAUUGGAAACUGGGGGACUUGAGUGCAGAAGAGGAGAGCGGAAUUCCACGUGUAGCGGUGAAAUGCGUAGAGAUGUGGAGGAACACCAGUGGCGAAGGCGGCUCUCUGGUCUGUAACUGACGCUGAGGCGCGAAAGCGUGGGGAGCAAACAGGAUUAGAUACCCCAGUAGUCC
rnacentral:rRNA from 1 species